rnacentral:rRNA from 1 species
UACGUAGGGGGCAAGCGUUGUCCGGAUUUAUUGGGCGUAAAGAGCUCGUAGGCGGUUUGGUAAGUUGGAUGUGAAAUCUCCAGGCUCAACUUGGAGGGGUCAUUCGAUACUGCCAUGACUAGAGUUCGGUAGGGGAGUGUGGAAUUCCUGGUGGAGCGGUGAAAUGCGCAGAUAUCAGGAGGAACACCGGUGGCGAAGGCGGAUCUCUGGGCCAUAACUGACGCUGAGGAGCGAAAGCAUGGGGAGCGAACAGG